rnacentral:lncRNA from 1 species
GCAAAAUCAGAGCAGGUGUUCAAACCUGUUCUGGGGACAGCCCCAAGCCCGAUAAAGGUGGUUGAUCAGCCUCCCGCGAAAGAUAUCAAUGCGUGCUGGGAGAUGAAAACCCUGGGCGGAGUGGGCUUUAGCUAUUCCAACACUCCGUAAACCAACCUAGUCAGUUGGGUAAUCCGAUCUCACUUUUCACGGAAUAAGGAGCUGUUCCACGGCGUCGAAGGGAUGAGUACUACUAGUGGGCUGGAUUCUUCCUCUUCUCUAGCUAUGGCUUUUUUAUCAUGGCGGGUGAAUAAUGUGAUAACUUAUCCAUAUGAGUAGUCCCUAUCUGCUGUCAUGCCCCUCUAAAGGCUAUGUCAAACUCCCGAUAGUCCAAUAUUGUAGAUCAAGAGAUAAAGCCACUUAUUCGGAUUUGACUUGUGCCUCAGCUUGAUGAAGGUCAAGACAUUGGCAAGGUCCUCUUGCUCUUCUCUCGUAGCUAUGUCCUCAACUACGACAACUACUAGAGUGAGGUUGCGUAAUAGAGUGGCAGUUGCCUAUUGACAGAAGUCAUCUCAACACACACUCACUUGGAAAUGGAAGACUGAAAGCCAGAGUCUUGAAACUAAGGGCUGAAAUAGUUCUCUUUCUCUUGCCGGACUCGUCAACAAAGUCUAAAGUCAAGAAGCGGUGUCAACUCUUGGCCUCGGAGCUUCUAUGUUGUUAGUUGUGAACUAAACUCUUUUGUCAUCGACUCAUCUCCUGAUAUUUAAUUAAGUGGGCUCAUACCCGACUCGCACAAAGAUGAACUUUCUCCUGUUAGACCUCAUCCAUG